rnacentral:tRNA from 1 species
GUGGUGGUAGUUCAGCCUGGUAGUGUUGUUGUUAAAAUCUAGUCGCCGCAAGUUCAAAUCUUGCCCACCACA